GACAGAGGAUGCAAGCGUCAUCCGGAAUGAUUGGGCGUAAAGCGUCUGUAGGUGGCUUUUAAGUCCGCCGUCAAAUCCCAGGGCUCAACCCUGGACAGGCGGUGGAAACUACCAAGCUGGAGUACGGUAGGGGCAGAGGGAAUUCCGGUGGAGCGGUGAAGUGCGCAGAUAUCAGGAAGGAACACCCGUGGCUAAGGCGGCUCUCUAGUACGGUACUGGACGCUGAGAGCGAAAGCGUGGGGAGCGAACGGGAUAGAAACCCGUGGU
rnacentral:rRNA from 1 species